UACGGAGGGGGCUAGCGUUGUUCGGAAUUACUGGGCGUAAAGCGCACGUAGGCGGGUUGUUAAGUCAGGGGUGAAAUCCCGGAGCUCAACUCCGGAACUGCCUUUGAUACUGGCAAGCUAGAGUCCGGGAGAGGUAAGUGGAACUCCUAGUGUAGAGGUGGAAUUCGUAGAUAUUAGCAAGAACACCAGUGGCGAAGGCGGCUUACUGGUCCGGAACUGACGCUGAGGUGCGAAAGCGUGGGGAGCAAACAGG
rnacentral:rRNA from 1 species